rnacentral:sRNA from 1 species
CAGUUUCGAUUUGUUGAGGGCAAAUAAAAUGAAUGUGACUGUCAAUGCCACCGGCGGUAAGAAUCAUUCCUUCCCCAGCAACGGCCUCAGUAGAUGGGCCAAUAAUAAUAUCGACAUUGUCUUGGAUAUAGGGAUUUCCUGCUUUGCCAAUCUUGAAAAUUUUGCCGUCUUUGAUGCCGACAUCGGCUUUGACAAUGCCCCACCAAUCAAGGAUUAAGGCAUUAGUGAUUACCAUAUCUACUGCGCCAUCUGCUCGGGUUAUGGGUGAUUGUCCCAUGCCAUCACGAAUUA